AGUGAACGCUGGCGGUAGGCCUAACACAUGCAAGUCGAACGGCAGCACAGUAAGAGCUUGCUCUUACGGGUGGCGAGUGGCGGACGGGUGAGGAAUACAUCGGAAUCUACUUUUUCGUGGGGGAUAACGUAGGGAAACUUACGCUAAUACUGCAUACGACCUACGGGUGAAGGCAGGGGAUCUUCGGACCUUGCGCGAUUGAAUGAGCCGAUGUCGGAUUAGCUAGUUGGCGGGGUAAAGGCCCACCAAGGCGACGAUCCGUAGCUGGUCUGAGAGGAUGAUCAGCCACACUGGAACUGAGACACGGUCCAGACUCCUACGGGAGGCAGCAGUGGGGAAUAUUGGACAAUGGGCGCAAGCCUGAUCCAGCCAUACCGCGUGGGUGAAGAAGGCCUUCGGGUUGUAAAGCCCUUUUGUUGGGAAAGAAAAGCAGCAGGUUAAUACCCCGCUGUUCUGACGGUACCCAAAGAAUAAGCACCGGCUAACUUCGUG
rnacentral:rRNA from 1 species